AUUGAACGCUGGCGGCAUGCCCUACACAUGCAAGUCGAACGGCAGCACGGGAGCAAUCCUGGUGGCGAGUGGCGAACGGGUGAGUAAUAUAUCGGAACGUGCCCAGUCGUGGGGGAUAACGUAGCGAAAGCUACGCUAAUACCGCAUACGAUCUAUGGAUGAAAGCGGGGGAUCGCAAGACCUCGCGCGAUUGGAGCGGCCGAUAUCAGAUUAGGUAGUUGGUGGGGUAAAGGCUCACCAAGCCGACGAUCUGUAGCUGGUCUGAGAGGACGACCAGCCACACUGGGACUUAGACACGGCCCAGACUCCUACGGGAGGCAGCAGUGGGGAAUUUUGGACAAUGGGCGCAAGCCUGAUCCAGCAAUGCCGCGUGCAGGAUGAAGGCCUUCGGGUUGUAAACUGCUUGUGUACGGAGCGAAAAGGCUUCCACUAAUACUGGGGGCUCAUGACGGUACCGUAAGAAUAAGCACCGGCUAACUACGUGCCAGCCGCCGCAGUAACAC
rnacentral:rRNA from 1 species